AAUACAACAUUCAGGUACAUUCUAUACUAAUGUGAACAAGAUGUACAAGUUGCCAAAUACAAAAUUCAGGUACAUUCUAUAUUAAUGUGAGCAAGAUGUACAAGUUACCAAAUGGAACGUUUAGGUUCAUUCUAUACUAAUGUGAACUAAAUGUACAAGUUGCCAAAUACAACAUUCAGGGACAUUCUAUACUAAUGUGAACAAGAUGUACAAGUUGCCAAAUACAACGUUUAGGUACAUUCUAUA